rnacentral:ncRNA from 1 species
AAAGGCUUGGUCCUGACUUUACUAUCAGCCUUAGUCCAAUUCAUGACAUGCAAGUAUCCGCACUCCCGUGAAAAUGCCCUUAAUCCUCUGUAUGAGGAGAAGGAGCGGGCAUCAGGCACGGCUUAAGCCGGCCCAAGACGCCUUGCUAUGCCACACCCACAAGGGAACUCAGCAGUAGUAAACAUUAAGCCAUUAGUGAAAACUAGACUUAGUUAGGACUAAAAGAGUCGGUAAAAUUCGUGCCAGCCACCGCGGUUAUACGAAAGACUCUAGUUGAUAGGUACGGCGUAAAGGGUGGUUAGGAGAAUAAUAAAAUAGAGCUGAAGACCUUCUAGGCUGUCAUACGCCCCCGAAGAAUACGAAAUCCGCUUUAAACGAAAGUAGCUCUACCAUAAUUAUCCGACCCCACAAAAGUUAAGAAACAAACUGGGAUUAGAUACCCCACUAUGCUUAGCCGUAAACAAAGAUAUCAUAAAUUAUCCGCCAGGGUACUACGAGCACAGCUUAAAACCCAAAGGACUUGGCGGUGCUUCAGAUCCACCUAGAGGAGCCUGUUCUAGAACCGAUAAUCCUCGUUAAACCUCACCACUUCUUGUUAAUACCGCCUAUAUACCACCGUCGUCAGCUUACCCUGUGAAGGGAUAAUAGUAAACAAAAUGGGCACACCCCAAAACGUCAGGUCGAGGUGUAGCGCACGAAGUGGGAAGAAAUGGGCUACAUUUUCUAAUUAUAGAAUAUCACGAACGGCACCAUGAAAAAAAUGCCCGAAGGAGGAUUUAGCAGUAAAAAGAAAAUAGAGAGUUCUUUUGAAUUAGGCUCUGAAGCACGCACACACCGCCCGUCACUCUCUCCU